CGCGGCCUAUCAGCUUGUUGGUGAGGUAACGGCUUACCAAGGCGACGACGGGUAGCUGGUCUGAGAGGAUGGUCAGCCGGACUGGGACUGAGAUACGGCCCAGACUCCUACGGGGGGCAGCAAUUAGGAAUCUUGCGCAAUGGGCGAAAGCCUGACGCAGCGACGUCGCGUGACCGAUGAAGUCUUUCGGGAUGUAAAGGUCUUUUGCAAGGGAAGAAGGGAUUGACGGUACCUUGCGAAUAAGCCCCGGCUAACUACGUGCCAGCAGCCGCGGUAAUACGUAGGGGGCGAGCGUUGUCCGAAUUCAUUGGGCGUAAAACGCACGUAGGCGGACUUAUAAGUUGGUGGUGAAAUGCCGGAGCUCAACUCCGGAACUGCCUCCAAAACUGUGAGUCUAGAGGUAUGGAGGGGGAAGUGGAAUUCCUGGUGUAGCGGUGAAAUGCGUAGAUAUCAGGAGGAACACCCGUGGCGAAGGCGGCUUCCUGGUCAUAUCCUGACGCUGAGGUGCGAAAGCUAGGGUAGCGAACGGGAUUAGAUACCCCGGUAGUCCUAGCCGUAAACGAUGGAUACUAGGUGUUAGAGGCAUCGACCCCUCUAGUGCCGAAGCAAACGCAUUAAGUACCCCGCCUGGGGAGUACGG
rnacentral:rRNA from 1 species